CCUACGGGAGGCUGCAGUAGGGAAUAUUGCUCAAUGGGGGAAACCCUGAAGCAGCAACGCCGCGUGGAGGAUGAAGGUUUUCGGAUUGUACACUCCUUUUGUUAGAGAAGAUAAUGACGGUAUCUAACGAAUAAGCACCGGCUAACUCCGUGCCAGCAGCCGCGGUAAUACGGAGGGUGCAAGCGUUACUCGGAAUCACUGGGCGGAAAGAGCGCGUAGGCGGGAUAGCAAGUCAGAUGUGAAAUCCUAUGGCUUAACCAUAGAACUGCAUUUGAAACUGUUAUUCUAGAGUAUGGGAGAGGUAGGUGGAAUUCUUGGUGUAGGGGUAAAAUCCGUAGAGAUCAAGAGGAAUACUCAUUGCGAAGGCGACCUGCUAGAACAUAACUGACGCUGAUGCGCGAAAGCGUGGGGAGCAAACAGGAUUAGAUACCCUAGUAGUC
rnacentral:rRNA from 1 species